rnacentral:rRNA from 1 species
GACGAACGCUGGCGGCGUGCUUAACACAUGCAAGUCGAACGGAAAGGCCCUGCUUUUGUGGGGUGCUCGAGUGGCGAACGGGUGAGUAACACGUGAGUAACCUGCCCUUGACUUUGGGAUAACUUCAGGAAACUGGGGCUAAUACCGGAUAGGAGCUCCUGCUGCAUGGUGGGGGUUGGAAAGUUUCGGCGGUUGGGGAUGGACUCGCGGCUUAUCAGCUUGUUGGUGGGGUAGUGGCUUACCAAGGCUUUGACGGGUAGCCGGCCUGAGAGGGUGACCGGCCACAUUGGGACUGAGAUACGGCCCAGACUCGUACGGGAGGCAGCAGUGGGGAAUAUUGCACAAUGGGCGGAAGCCUGAUGCAGCAACGCCGCGUGCGGGAUGACGGCCUUCGGGUUGUAAACCGCUUUCGCCUGUGACGAAGCGUGAGUGACGGUAAUGGGUAAAGAGGCACCGGCUAACUACGUG